rnacentral:ribozyme from 14 species
AAAGUAAAACACAAAGAAUGAAGGAAACAGGAUGGCAGUAAGUAGUGGGAAAAAGAAGGAAAGGGAGUUCACACCGUAGUGGUGAUAGUUCAUUAUUAUUUUUUUUAUUAUUAUUAUUAUACUACUACUA